ACUUUAUACUGUGAAACUGCGAAUGGCUCAUUAAAUCAGUUAUCGUUUAUUUGAUAGUACCUUACUACAUGGAUACCUGUGGUAAUUCUAGAGCUAAUACAUGCUAAAAACCCCGACUUCGGAAGGGGUGUAUUUAUUAGAUAAAAAACCAAUGCCCUUCGGGGCUCCUUGGUGAUUCAUAAUAACUUAACGAAUCGCAUGGCCUUGCGCCGGCGAUGGUUCAUUCAAAUUUCUGCCCUAUCAACUUUCGAUGGUAGGAUAGUGGCCUACCAUGGUGGCAACGGGUAACGGGGAAUUAGGGUUCGAUUCCGGAGAGGGAGCCUGAGAAACGGCUACCACAUCCAAGGAAGGCAGCAGGCGCGCAAAUUACCCAAUCCCGACACGGGGAGGUAGUGACAAUAAAUACUGAUACGGGGCUCUUUCGGGUCUCGUAAUUGGAAUGAGUACAAUCUAAAUCCCUUAACGAGGAACAAUUGGAGGGCAAGUCUGGUGCCAGCAGCCGCGGUAAUUCCAGCUCCAAUAGCGUAUAUUAAAGUUGUUGCAGUUAAAAAGCUCGUAGUUGAACCUUGGGUCUGGCUGGCCGGUCCGCCUCACCGCGAGUACUGGUCCGGCUGGACCUUUCCUUCUGGGGAAUCCCAUGGCCUUCACUGGCUGUGGGGGGAACCAGGACUUUUACUGUGAAAAAAUUAGAGUGUUCAAAGCAGGCCUUUGCUCGAAUACAUUAGCAUGGAAUAAUAGAAUAGGACGUGCGGUUCUAUUUUGUUGGUUUCUAGGACCGCCGUAAUGAUUAAUAGGGAUAGUCGGGGGCGUCAGUAUUCAGCUGUCAGAGGUGAAAUUCUUGGAUUUGCUGAAGACUAACUACUGCGAAAGCAUUCGCCAAGGAUGUUUUCAUUAAUCAGGGAACGAAAGUUAGGGGAUCGAAGACGAUCAGAUACCGUCGUAGUCUUAACCAUAAACUAUGCCGACUAGGGAUCGGGCGGUGUUUCUAUGAUGACCCGCUCGGCACCUUACGAGAAAUCAAAGUUUUUGGGU
rnacentral:rRNA from 1 species